rnacentral:rRNA from 1 species
CCUACGGGUGGCAGCAGUGGGGAAUAUUGCACAAUGGGGGAAACCCUGAUGCAGCGACGCCGCGUGAGUGAAGGAGUAUUUCGGUAUGUAAAGCUCUAUCCGCAGGGACGUAGAAAGACGGUACCUGACUAAGAAGCGCCGGCUAACUACGUGCCAGCAGCAGCGGUAAUACGUAGGGGGCAAGCGUUAUCCGGAUUUACUGGGUGUAACGGGAGCGUAGACGGCUGUGCAAGUCUGAAGUGAAAGCCAAGGGCUCAACCCGGGGACUGCUUUGGAAACUGUGGUGCUAGAGUGCUGGAGAGGGAAGUGGAAUUCCUGGUGUAGCAGUGAAAUGCGUAGAUAUUAGGAGGAACACCAGUGGCGAAGGCGGCUUACUGGACAAUAACUGACGUUGAGGCUCGAAAGCGUGGGGAGCAAACAGGAUUAGAUACCCCUGUAGUC